rnacentral:rRNA from 1 species
AUUGAACGCUGGCGGCAGGCCUAACACAUGCAAGUCGAGCGGAUGAAGGGAGCUUGCUCCUGGAUUCAGCGGCGGACGGGUGAGUAAUGCCUAGGAAUCUGCCUGGUAGUGGGGGAUAACGUCCGGAAACGGGCGCUAAUACCGCAUACGUCCUGAGGGAGAAAGUGGGGGAUCUUCGGACCUCACGCUAUCAGAUGAGCCUAGGUCGGAUUAGCUAGUUGGUGGGGUAAAGGCCUACCACGGCGACGAUCCGUAACUGGUCUGAGAGGAUGAUCAGUCACACUAGAACUGAGACACGGUCCAGACUCCUACGGGAGGCAGCAGUGGGGUAUAUUGGACAAUGGGCGAAAGCCUGCUCCAGCCAUGCCGCGUGUGUGAAGAAAGUCUUCGGAUUGUAAAGCACUUUAAGUUGGGAGGAAGGGCAGUACGUUAAUACCUUGCUGUUUUGACGUUACCAACAGAAUAAGCACCGGCUAACUUCGUG